rnacentral:misc_RNA from 1 species
GAUCAGGUGCAUGAACUAACAAAGAAUGUGAAAACAGGUUCUUGGACCAAGUGAGUGUAAGAUAAACAGGUGAACCACAAAUCUGAGCUUGGUAAAUACAUGUAACAAGAUUUUGAGGCACUUGUGAAGGAGGAGGAGAUGCAGAAGUUGUUUCUGAAUCCUCAGAAUUAUGAGGAAUAUUAAAACAAGCAGGUAUCAUAUUCUUCAUCCUAAACACAACACUAGUACUAAAUGUUGGAAUCAAGAGUUGGAGGAUUUUGGUUUAAUGAAGUUAGCCAUAUUAAUGUUUUGUAUUAUAUGAGGUGGGGUUUUAUGUUAGAGCUUGAUUGGCGCCAUGGAAAGAGAUAGAAAGCUAUAUAGAUAGAUUUUUGUUCUCUUAUUCAUGAUGAGUAUAUAUAUGUAUGUGAGCUGGGAGGCAUUAGCAAACUUCAAGACU